rnacentral:rRNA from 1 species
UGUCAUAAGCAAUAAUCUAUGAUAAAACCUGCUCAAUGUAUCAAUAAAUAGCCGCAGUUCACCUGUGCUAAGGUAGCAUAAUCACUUGCUUCCUAAUUAGAAGAUAGAAUGAAAGGUAAAACACUUAAGAUCUGUCUCUUUAAAUAAUAAUGAACUUAAAACAGACGUAAAAAUUCCUCUAUUAACAGGCGGGACGACAAGACCCUGAUAAACUUAACAUUUAGUUGGGGAAACUAAUUAACAACAAUUUAACGAACAAUCUACACAAAACUAAAAAAUCAAAUAUAGAACAGUUACUACAGGGAUAACAGCGCAAUUUCUUUUAAGAGACCACAUCAAAAAAGAAGAUUACGACCUCGAUGUUGAAUUAGCUAACCCAGUAAGGAGCAAUAACCUAUAAGGGUGGUCUGUUCGACCAUAAAACAAC